GCAGCUGUGCUUGUCCAUUCACCUUCAAAAUUGGCAAAGGAGUACCAAGAGAUGCCAGAUAUACCUGGUGCCAAAUGUGUCUCCUGCAGAUGACCGCUUCCGAAAUGGUGACACUUCCUUGCCUGCUAAUUCAUUGGUAUGAGAAGCCUAAAGUGACAGGCAGUCAUAACUUACAGUCUAAUAGAACAUUUGCUGUGUCUUCUGGCGGAAGAAUUCCACUCUUAGAACGAGGACUCCGAGAUCUGCAGAGUAUAGUUUUUAAAAUGUUUAUACGUGGGACACCUACCACAGCAUGGCUGCCAAGCAGUGCCAUGUCCGCGCCCGGGAUCCGAACCAGCGAACCCCGGGCCGCCGAGAAGCGGAACAUGCGAACUUAACCGCUGCGCCACCGGGCCGGCCCCAGGUCAAGUUAUGUGAUAACUAAGAAUUGACUUUUGGAUUUACCCAUGUGGGAGGCAUUAACCAAUGGGGAAAUAAUUAAAAGGCUGGUUGGAUUUAAGAGAAAAUGGGAGGAGAAGAAUUGGAGACAACAGUAGAGACAACUUUUAAGAGUUUUGCAAUAAAGGGAAGUAGUCACUGGGAAGAAAAGUGGGGUCAAGUAAUUUUUUUAGAAAGAUUGCUGAUAUAACAGCAUGUUUGUAUGCUGAUGGAAUUGAUCCAAUAAAGCAGAAGAAAUUGGAGUGAGAAAGGAGAAUUGCUGGAGUCG
rnacentral:lncRNA from 1 species